rnacentral:lncRNA from 1 species
GAGUGCCAGGUGGAGACCAUCGUGGAUGCCCUCUGUGCCAGUAUGCGGUCCGACAAGGAGCAGCUCCGGGAUAUUGCUGGCAUCGGCCUCAAUAUUGUGCUCUCAGAACUGCCACCUGCAGCCACAGGCUCCGGGUUGGCCACCAACGUGUGCCGGAAGAUCACAGGCCAGCUCACCAGUGCCAUUGCCCAGCAGGAGGAUGUGGCCAUGCAGCUGGAGGCCCUGGACAUCCUAUCUGACAUGCUGAGCAGGUGAGGGGACAGGGAUUUGGGUGUGUGGAGCCAGUGCCACCCAGGGGCACCUUAACCCUUAGCUAACCUGCCAAGAAAUGCUCUAUGGUCACCUCUGAACAGGCUCU